rnacentral:rRNA from 1 species
GAAACUCGGAUCAAGGAGUCAAGGUUGUGCGCGAGUGUUAGGUGUUAAACUCGCACGCGUAAUGAAAGUGAACGUAGGUGAGAGCUUCGGCGCAUCAUCGACCGAUCAUGAUGUUUUCGGAUGGAUUUGAGUAGGAGCGUUAAGCCUUGGACCCGAAAGAUGGUGAACUAUGCUUGGAUAGGGUGAAGCCAGAGGAAACUCUGGUGGAGGCUCGCAGCGGUUCUGACGUGCAAAUCGAUCGUCAAAUCUGAGCAUGGGGGCGAAAGACUAAUCGAACCAUCUAGUAGCUGGUUACCGCCGAAGUUUCCCUCAGGAUAGCAGUGUUGUCUUCAGUUUUAUGAGGUAAAGCGAAUGAUUAGGGACUCGGGGGCGCUUUUUAGCCUUCAUCCAUUCUCAAACUUUAAAUAUGUAAGAAGCCCUUGUUACUUAAUUGAACGUGGGCAUUCGAAUGUACCAACACUAGUGGGCCAUUUUUGGUAAGCAGAACUGGCGAUGCGGGAUGAACCGAACGCGGGGUUAAGGUGCCGGAGUGGACGCUCAUCAGACACCACAAAAGGCGUUAGUACAUCUUGACAGCAGGACGGUGGCCAUGGAAGUCGGAAUCCGCUAAGGACUGUGUAACAACUCACCUGCCGAAUGUACUAGCCCUGAAAAUGGAUGGCGCUCAAGCGUCCCACCCAUACCCCGCCCUCAGGGUAGAAACGAUGCCCUGAGGAGUAGGCGGCCGUGGAGGUCAGUGUCGAAGCC